rnacentral:rRNA from 1 species
UACAUAGGAUGCAAGCGUUAUCCGGAUUUACUGGGCGUAAAACGAGCGCAGGCGGGUUUGUAAGUUUGGUAUUAAAUCUAGAUGCUUAACGUCUAGCUGUAUCAAAAACUGUAAACCUAGAGUGUAGUAGGGAGUUGGGGAACUCCAUGUGGAGCGGUAAAAUGCGUAGAUAUAUGGAAGAACACCGGUGGCGAAGGCGCCAACUUGGACUAUCACUGACGCUUAGGCUCGAAAGUGUGGGGAGCAAAUA